AUCACUAUUACUCGGGUCUCUUUCGUUGUUCACUUGAUCGUCCCUUCUUUCCUUUGGGGAGAAUCAAACCUGUAUCAGAUUCGAGCUCGAUAUCGUUCUUCGUUCGCCGUGCCACGAGGUUAGCUCAGAUUCAAUCGCUAUCGGCCUCUAUUACUCAACGACGUGGUCUCGCCAGUGCCGCUGGUACUCUAUCUGUGAUUGCUUUGGAAUAUCUUAUUUGAGCAUUUUCACACAAAAAACAAAAAGAAAGGUUGAAACUUUGGGAAGGUGGCUGUUUUUUUUUCGUUUCUUCUCCCAGUACAUGAAAUGUUAGAUAUAUAUUAAUGUCCCGGUGAUCAUGGAGCUGCUAAAGUUAGCUUUUGGGAACAGGCGAACAGCCCAUGAACCCACGAAACUGGAAAGAGGAACAUUUGUACUUAUUUCGCUAUCCGGUUGGGGUCUGCUUUUUGACAGCGGUUACAAACUCUUCACCGGAGACAAAAAGCAGCAGCCUGUAAAUGCUAAUGCUACACAAUGAGAAUGAAGUACACAUCUAAUAAAUGGAGCUCUGUUUCUGAAGAAUUUACGAUUAAACUAGAUUCUCAUAUCCUCUUUGCCUGGUGAA